CAUGUUUUCUCCUUUUCAGAAUGGGCGACUGAGAGCUUGACAUAACUAACUGCCAUGAUGAACCUGUGAGUUUUUUUUUUCUUUGUCUUCUCCUUUUCACACAACUUUGUUAAUGACUUUGUUUUCCUCUGUCCAGCCACCUGGGGCUUACGACCCCCCCACAGGAAGAUCAGAGCCCAGAUGUCAGAUAUGGAAAUGUAUGGCAGGUGCUGAGUUCUGAAAGCUUUCUUAAAAGAAAAAGAGUCAAGUAAAGAAGCAUUACAGCAAACACUACCUUAUCAACUCUGGCUUUGUAGUAAAACUUUAGAAAAAUACAAAUACACAGGGCCCAACCCUGACCAGUCGAAUCAGAAUCUUUGGGGGUGGUGCCCAGACAUUCCAGAUGAUUCUAGUACACGACAAGGUAAGUGUCACUCCAGAAAGGGACUCCUGCUUCCUUGUGGAAUCCUGCUCUCCCUGGCUUUCUCCAUCCUCAUCCCAAUCCUAAAUCCAUAGGUGCUCAGAAAAAAGGGAAAUGGGUUAUGCUCUUCAGUGUACAUGCCCAUUAAGUUGGUCCAGUGAGAUAGCACACGUUAGAGUCUUCUUAGUGUUCCAUGCCAAAACAACAACAACAUACCACAAGAGAAAACAAAACAAAGAGCCGUGUCUCCCUCAAUGGCCUGAAGUGCCUAUUUGUUCACAAGUCAGUGAGAAUUAUUAUUCUCCUUUUUUGCCUUAGCUUCCAGGAAGCCCAGAACUGGACUAGAGCCAACCACAUGACUCCUCUGAGCUCUUGUUUUGGUUUGAAUUAUGUCUCCUGCUUCACAAUAGGACUUUUGAAAUUUUAUUGAAAGACAUUUAAUAAUAUUGUACAAACAACCAUUCACAUGUAGAAUUUGGACAUCAUAUAGGAAUACACAUUAGGGGAGAGUGCAGGUUACAAGACUGAUGGGGAUACGUGGUCACAGCAGAAGUUGUUGGUGCUUUGCCCAGGAAUCACGUUUCCUGGCUAAGGUGGUGUACCCAUCCCCUAUCUGUUGCAGGUGUUCCAGCUAAUGGCCCAUGUUUGCAGCCUUCUGCUACUUUGCCUCAAGGUGCCUGGGAGUUAAACUAUUUAUCCCCACCACCACUGGGAGUACACAAGCUCUACUCUCUGACCUCAAGGGGAGAGCAGAAGAAAAGAAAACUCUCUAGCAAAGGAACAUCCAGCAACAGUCAAAUCUCAAAAAACUAAGCAUGAUAAUAAUGAUUAAAAAUAUAAAUCACUGUUUUGAAAGCCUGUUAGUUUAUGAUAAGACGUAAUCUAGAAACAUUAUGUUUAAUAUUAUACGUACAUUUAUAAGAGUCAUUUCAAUAAACUGGCGAUUUAAAGUGCAAUUAUAUAAAGAAAUUGUUUCAUCCUAUGUUACUAAUGGGGUUUAAUCUGUGAACCUUAUUAUUUUGCUUAACUCUCACAGCUAGUAGAUAAGAAAGUAUUUUGGAGAAGAGGUGGCUCUUUUUCAAAAUAAACAAGACAUAUUUUCAUCUUCUGACUGGAGAAACAAAAAAUGAAUGGAGUCCCUAUUUCUCUCACCUGGUACAGAAGCACUCUGGUGCUUCCCUCUUUUGCUUUCUGUCUUGAUGCUCUUCAAGUGGACCGUCAGACAAGGGGACCAAUGUCGGUCGGACUCUCUAGAUCUGAGCUUAUUCCGGACUCUAGGCCUGUCAGGGAUACCUGUUGGCCACACCUCAUGAGAGCUGUUUUGCAUUCUGAGAUCGAUUCCUGCUUCAUCCGUAAGAAAAAAGAUUUCCUGUUUGGGGUAGGAAUUGCCUCCGUUUGGAAGUCUCCAGGUUCUCUCUUCCAGGCUUUCUCUCUCUUCCUCUGACUUGCUCUGACUUCCAGUCCAUGUG